AUGGUCAGCGUCACCGAGCUCUGCCCGUUGUCCCUGGAGAUCCUGAACCGGCCCUUGAACGAUGGCGCGUACACGGUGGAAGAACCACUGCUGUCGAUCGCUCCCGCAGGGCUCCGGGCGGCCGUGACCCUGCUGGAGUCCGGGGGGAACCUCCAGCCCCCCGGGGGGUCCCUGCGCCUCCUCUGCCGCGGCUCCGGGUUUGAUUUCGGGAAAUUCGCCAUGUCCUGGGUCCGCCAGAGACCCGGGCAGGCGCUGGAAACUAUUGCAGGAAUCAGCAGCAAUGGCAGCACCGACUACGCGCCGUCAGUCAAGGGCCGGUUCAGGAUCUCCAGGGACAACGGGCAGAGCUCGGUGACGCUGACCAUGAGCAGCCUCAAGGACGAGGAUUCCGCCGUCUAUUUCUGUGCCAAAUCUCCUGGUACUGGCAGCGCUGCUGCUGCCUAUAUUGGCAAUGCCGGUGGUGGCACCACCCCUAUCUGA